GCCGGAGGGAAACCGAGUCUUAACCGGGCGUUAAGUUGCAGGGUAUAGACCCGAAACCCGGUGAUCUAGCCAUGGGCAGGUUGAAGGUUGGGUAACACUAACUGGAGGACCGAACCGACUAAUGUUGAAAAAUUAGCGGAUGACCUGUGGCUGGGGGUGAAAGGCCAAUCAAACCGGGAGAUAGCUGGUUCUCCCCGAAAGCUAUUUAGGUAGCGCCUCGUGAAUUCAUCUCCGGGGGUAGAGCACUGUUUCGGCUAGGGGGCCAUCCCGGCUUACCAACCCGAUGCAAACUGCGAAUACCGGAGAAUGUUAUCACGGGAGACACACGGCGGGUGCUAACGUCCGUCGUGAAGAGGGAAACAACCCAGACCGCCAGCUAAGGUCCCAAAGUCAUGGUUAAGUGGGAAACGAUGUGGGAAGGCCCAGACAGCCAGGAUGUUGGCUUAGAAGCAGCCAUCAUUUAAAGAAAGCGUAAUAGCUCACUGGUCGAGUCGGCCUGCGCGGAAGAUGUAACGGGGCUAAACCAUG
rnacentral:rRNA from 1 species